UAUUAAUCAGGAAGGAACUGUUCAGUUCUGAACUUGAAUGCUGUGUGCGGUGUGGGUUGUUGUAUUUCCCCAAACGAAACCAUUUCUAUUGUUUCACCCAUCGCUCAUGGUUCUUCUCUUUCCUUCGCGCGAUCGCAAAAUGUUUGAUGGGCUUAGUGUGAUAACCCCGCGAGUAGCCACAAAUUACAACUAUGUGCUGGCUAGAAUGGAUUCCAACAACUAGCAGAUUGAUGAGCAACAACCAGUCAAAUCAGCAUCAAGAGUCUCAUUCUGCCAAAGAAAGAAGUCUGACAAUGGAAGCUUCGUGUCCAAUUUAGGAUAUCACUUUCAUGAGUUCAUACAAGCAUCCGCAGACGAACACAAGACGUGCUUGAGAAAUACAAUUCAAAAGAUAUUAGAUGCAUCAAACUUUUUUGGGAAAAAUGAUCGCAGCACAAAUGAAGGUGACUCUGUACCCCUUCACAAAUCUACAAAAGACUAGAAGGCUUUCUUGAAUCAUCAUCAAUAAAGUGAUAAGAGAGUUUAUAAGACACCCGUAGCCUUAUAGAAUGCAUGCUUUUGCUUUAAACAGGAAUAAUAUAUGUGAUGUGAUGCUUUAUGUUUCACUGCCUAGUUGUUUGUUCAUUUGUUAACUACUUAAACCCACAUAGUCAUACAAUAGAUAAAUUGUAGAAGCUUUCUUAUAUUAAUUUAUCCAAAAUAUGAUUUAAAUUUAGUUUA